rnacentral:rRNA from 1 species
CCUGGUUGAUUCUGCCAGUAGUCAUAUGCUUGUCUCAAAGAUUAAGCCAUGCAUGUCUAAGUAUAAGCAACUUUGUACUGUGAAACUGCGAAUGGCUCAUUAAAUCAGUUAUAGUUUAUUUGAUGGUUUUUGCUACAUGGAUAACUGUGGUAAUUCUAGAGCUAAUACAUGCAUUCAAGCCCCGACUUCUGGAAGGGGUGUAUUUAUUAGAUAAAAAUCAACUUUGUUGGUGAAUCAUAAUAACUUCUCGGACCGCAUGGCCUCGUGCUGGCGGUGCUUCAUUCAAAUAUCUGCCCUAUCAACUGUCGAUGGUAGGAUAGAGGCCUACCAUGGUUGCAACGGGUAACGGGGAAUAAGGGUUCGAUUCCGGAGAGGGAGCCUGAGAAACGGCUACCACAUCCAAGGAAGGCAGCAGGCGCGCAAAUUACCCAAUCCCAACACGGGGAGGUAGUGACAAUAAAUACUGAUACAGGGCUCUUUUGGGUCUUGUAAUUGGAAUGAGUACAAUUUAAUUCCCUUAACGAGGAACAAUUGGAGGGCAAGUCUGGUGCCAGCAGCCGCGGUAAUUCCAGCUCCAAUAGCGUAUAUUAAAAUUGUUGCCGUUAAAAAGCUCGUAGUCGAACUUCGGGCUCUGUCAGCCGGUCCGCCUUCUUGGUGUGUACUUGUUUGACGGAGCCUUACCUCCUGGUGAACGGCGAUGUCCUUUACUGGGUGUCGUCGCAAACCAGGACUUUUACUUUGAAAAAAUUAGAGUGUUCAAAGCAGGCCUUUGCCCGAAUACAUUAGCAUGGAAUAAUAAAAUAGGACGCGCGUUCCCAUUUUGUUGGUUUCUGAGAUCGCCGUAAUGAUUAAUAGGGAUAGUUGGGGGCAUUUGUAUUCCGUCGUCAGAGGUGAAAUUCUUGGAUUGCCGGAAGACAAACUACUGCGAAAGCAUUUGCCAAGGAUGUUUUCAUUGAUCAAGAACGAAGGAAGGGGGAUCGAAAACGAUUAGAU